GAUGAACGCUGGCGGCGUGCCUAAUACAUGCAAGUCGAGCGAACAGACGAGGAGCUUGCUCCUCUGACGUUAGCGGCGGACGGGUGAGUAACACGUGUAUAACCUACCUAUAAGACUGGGAUAACUUCGGGAAACCGGAGCUAAUACCGGAUAAUCUAUUGCACCGCAUGGUUCAAUAGUGAAAUACGGUGUUGCUGUCACUUAUAGAUGGAUCCGCGCUGCAUUAGCUAGUUGGUAGGGUAACGGCUUACCACGGCAACGAUGCGUAGCCGACAUGAGAGGGGGGUCGGCGACACUGGAACUGGGACACGGUCCAGGGUCCUACGGGAGGCAGCAGUAGGGAAUCUUACGCAAUGGGCGAAAGCAUGACGGAGCAGCGGGGCGUGAGUGAUGACGGUCUCGGGAGCGUAAAACUCUGUUAUUAGGGAAAAACAGAUGUGGAAGUAACUGUGCACUGAUUGACGGUAACUGAUAAGAAAGCAACGGCUAACUACGUG
rnacentral:rRNA from 1 species